rnacentral:rRNA from 1 species
GCCUGUUUAUCAAAAACAUUGUCUUAUGAAGACUUAUAUAAGAUAACCCCUGCCCAGUGAAAUUUUAAACGGCCGCGGUACCCUGACCGUGCAAAGGUAGCAUAAUCACUUGCCCUUUAAUUAGGGGCUGGAAUGAAUGGGUGAACGAAAGCCUAACUGUCUCAAAGAUAAUUAUAAAAAUUAAUCUCUGGGUGAAGAAGCCCAGAUAAUUAUGAAAGACAAGAAGACCCUGUCGAGCUCCGCACUUAAUAGAACUCCUACAUUUUAAAGAAAAAGAGAUUCAAUUAAAGGUGCUUCAUUGGGGCGAUGAGAGAAUAAAUAACACAUCUCUUUUUAUAAAGGUUAUUAACCAAAAAAUGACCCACUAUAUGUGAUCAAAAGAAAAAGCUACCGCAGGGAUAACAGGCUAAUCCUUUCAGAAAGCUCCCAUCGACGAAAGGGGUUGGCACCUCGAUGUUGGCUUAGAAUUUCCCCGAGGCGCAGCUGCCUCGAAGGUUGGUUUGUUCAACCAUUAAAAUUC